UGUGAACAAUGUUCAAGAAUCCUUUGUCCUAUAUUAUCUGAUAGAUUGCACUAAUGACAUCUAUGGAUACUGCCAUUACCAGGGCUUUCUGCAGCUUUUUUAGUCAUCUUUCUUGUCUGAUAUCUUGCUUUUCCAAGAUUUUCUGAUAUUUUCUGAGAUGGUGCAUGUUGGUUGGAGCCCAUCAGCUUAUCACUUUAAACAUUAUAAUUGCGAAGGAUUGACACUCUAUCUGCUAGUUUUACAUACUCUAUGAACAAAACUAAUCAUUAUACAAUGUCCUUCAAUUUUCUCAUUCGACAUUCAUGUAUUCUUGGUACUGAGGUACUCUGUGAAUCUUUUGUACAUGCAUCAAGGUGAGAUAGAACAAGAUAAAUCCAAGGUAAUAUUUAGUCGUCCCUUGAAUGGUCUUUAUCAGCAGCAUGCAUGAACAUUUAUGAGCUUUAUCCGAAAAUGUAGCUCAUAAUGUUUGAUGGUGAUGGGACUUCCUUGCAAGAACAGUAGGCUGCCAUGUCAACUAUUUUCUCAGAGUAAGGUUAAACUAAUCUGAACUAUUUCAGGGACAUCAUUUCUGAGAGGAAACUGCAGCUCAGAGGAUCAAAGAACAAGUAGUAAUAUUCUGACCUCAAUUUUCUAUAGAGCUCUUUCCUCGAUUUGGCAUUUUUAAUGGUAGAUUAAGUAGUCUUCCCUGCUAGUUCUCAUUCAUGUGUUUUGUCAGUCUCUAUUGUUGUGUUCUAUUACUGUCGGUGAUGUAUAGGAAUAACUGUUUAUAUUCUUGAUCAUACACCUUAAAGUGUAAACAUCAUUUCUGUGGAUUCUCCUCUUGUUUGAUUACCUUUUUAUCAGCAGAUUCAGCAAUAAAAAACGGAUGAAUUUCCCAAGAAACAAAGCUUGCAAUGCUAGAACAUCUGUGGGGCAUAAGCUUUGUGAAGGGAAUACUGAUUAAGAUGGUAUAAACAUGUUCAAAGAAAUUUAUAAAUUCUCUGGUUAGAAAGAAUAGGUGGUGAAUUAGAAUUGGUCAAUAUGAGAAGAUAUGGGCUAAAACUAAGAAAGCUUUACUAGAAAUAACAAAAAGAGAUAAAAAUGCCCUUGAUUGAAUUAUAAAUAUUUUCUUAGAGCAGAAAAGGUAAAUGUGGUCAAAGAAUUAUAUAAAAUGUCAAAUAUCCAAAGUAAUUACUUUGAUAGCAUUUCCAGAUUGGUCUGUUUCAACUCCCAGUUGAUCACAAUUGGAGCUUUUGACAAGUCCAAGUAUUCUAUUCUGUGUUUCCUUGUCAGUCAUCAUUUACUUCUCAAAAGUGAUGGGAGACCUUCUGCAAAUCUAUGUAAUAGCUGCAGUAUCCCACAGGGCCCCUUCCAAAUUGGAUGAUAACCUUCAUCUAGUCAAAGAAUCAUGGCACCCCUUCAGGGAAGGUGGAUUUGGAUGUCUGGUAGAUGAGACAAUCACAUCAAGCAAUGCAUCCCAAAAGCAUACAGGUGUUGGGCAGCCUUAAUUGCAGUAGAUGAGACAGCUCAGUUCUAGCUGCAGCUAAGAUUUCAUUAGUUUGGUCUCUUUAAUGUUACCAUGACUCAGUCCAGACAUUUGCAAGUUCUUCAUCUGAUCUGAAAACAACCUUUUACUGUUCAAUUUUCCGUGUUUUGUUUACUUGUACAUCUCUUUAUGUAUGAACUGAAAACAAGAAGAAAGAGAACUGAAUGCUCUUGGUUUAGUAAUUGAUAGAAUAUAUUUUUCCGAUCUUAUAUAGUUGGGGACAUUACGUUCGUUAGUGUCACUGUAUCCAUCUGUCUAUGAAUUAUUGUUGAAUGAUGUGGUUGUGGUUAUGAUUGACAGUACCUCUUCAGGUUGCCUGUAGCUGUAGGUGGUAGUGUGUCUGAGUGUGAUGCAUGGAAUUAAUGGCUAUCAAACAUGCAACAGUUUUAUUCUAGCUUUAUCUGUGAUAGAUGCAUGGUCUUACAGUGACAUCUGAAAUAGAAAGCACUCAACAGAAAUGAUCGAGUGGUUGUCACUGUUGUACAAAGCUAUUGGUGAGUGGUCAACCUCUUUUGAUUGAUUUGUCUUUCAUGGCAUGUCUCUAACUGGGUUUUGUAGGAAUGAGACUCAGCAAGGAGCGAAACCAAUGCAAGUAAAAGUAUAUACAGAAACGCUUUUGCAGUUCAGAGUUGUUUGCUCCACCAAAUUCAGUGACUGCAUUCUGUGGAGGUUUGAUAUUGACCUCAGUAUGGCACCUUCAAGACUGAAGACAAGCAUUAGGAAAUUUGCACUGCCAAAUCCACAAAUGGAGAGAUCAAUUUAUGCUCGGGGAAAGCUUGAAAACUAGUGAUUAUUGUUGUUGAAGUAUCUCAAGAGAGGCUAAAGUGAUCAUGAAGUUCAUUCACCAUAAAGUUACUGUGGAAAUCAAGAAUCACAUGAGAGACCAUUUCCAUCAACAAUUAUUAUGAGCUGAUACAGAAAAACUCAAACAGAACCAUUGGCACUCUCUGCAAGCAAAGAGCUCCAACCUUCAAAAGAAGACUAAAAUACCAAUCUGUUUAGAUGCAAAAAUGGAAGGCAUAGACAGUCAUAUAAUGUAGUUGCAAUAGAGGGCCACAACUGCCGAAACCAUGAUAACCUUCCUGUCGUUUUCCACAUUAAGAUUUCAUGACAAAGAGAUUGACCUUCUCCGCAAGUCAUAUGACCACACAUUGCUCUACUAUCGGCGAGUUCAUCUAGUGCAACUAAUCACUCUUCUAGUCCAUCUAUUCUCAAGAAGCCUGCUUACUCAGAAUGAGACUUCAUCAUUUGGCUGGUGCGAUAUUCCUUCUAGUGCUUCUUCUUUUGUAAUAUUGACAAAACAAGAAAUUCUUCCAAUUAAAUAUUCACCUAAUUAUCUUCAAUUAUGGUAAUUUUCGCCA